rnacentral:rRNA from 1 species
UACGAAGGGGGCGAGCGUUGUUCGGAAUUACUGGGCGUAAAGGGCGCGCAGGCGGCUCUGAAAGUCAGAUGUGAAAGCCCCGGGCUUAACCUGGGAAUUGCAUUUGAUACUCUGGAGCUUGAGUGUGGGAGAGGAGAGUGGAAUUCCCAGUGUAGAGGUGAAAUUCGUAGAUAUUGGGAAGAACACCGGUGGCGAAGGCGGCUCUCUGGACCACAACUGACGCUGAGGCGCGAAAGCUAGGGGAGCAAACAGG